rnacentral:rRNA from 1 species
UACGUAGGGGGCUAGCGUUGUCCGGAUUUACUGGGCGUAAAGAGCGCGCAGGCGGUCGUUCAAGUCGAGUGUGAAAGCCCCCGGCUCAACUGGGGAGGGUCACUCGAUACUGGUCGACUCGAAGGCAGGAGAGGGAAGCGGAAUUCCCGGUGUAGUGGUGAAAUGCGUAGAUAUCGGGAGGAACACCAGUGGCGAAGGCGGCUUUCUGGCCUGUUCUUGACGCUGAGGCGCGAAAGCUAGGGUAGCAAACGGG